GUGGCGAAAUUGGUAGACGCACUGGAUUUAGGUUCCAGCGCCGCAAGGUGUAAGAGUUCGAGUCUCUCCGUCCGCACCA
rnacentral:tRNA from 1 species